ensembl:misc_RNA 7SK 7SK RNA
UGAUGCAUUUCGAAUAUUGAGCCAUCGUUGCAUUUCUGUUUGAGUCUUUCUCAGUUACAUUGUCCUGUACGACUGGAUGGGGUUUUCUACACUUGUACUGAGAUGAUUCUGGAGUGAGACUGGCCUUCGCCAUAGAGGAGGAUGGCUCCUUGCUCGAGGGCAUCCGAGCUCCCUGUGCUAGAACCCCCAAACCAGGGCUCAGCUCCGUCUGUAGGAGGAUGUAGGCUAGUCAAGCUCCCAGGACUCCAGACACAUACAAGUGAGCUGCUACCUGCGGCAGUCUGCCUUUUUU